GACAUAGGUGGCAAACGUUAUCCGGAAUUAUUGGGCGUAAAGGGUGCGUAGAUGGUCGAGCAAGUUAACAGUGGGAAAUCAGGGCUCAACCUUGUGGAAGUUGUUAAGACUGCUCGGCUAGAGGGCCGGGAGAGGUUAACGGAACUCUUAUGGAGGGGUAAAAUCCGACGAUAUAAGCAGGAACGCCAAUAAAGGCGAAGGCAGUUAACUAUUCGGUUCCUGACAUUGAGGCACGAAAGCGUGGGGAGCAAAACGG
rnacentral:rRNA from 1 species